UUAAAUUGAAGAGUUUGAUCAUGGCUCAGAUUGAACGCUGGCGGCAGGCCUAACACAUGCAAGUCGAACGGUAACAGAAAGCAGCUUGCUGCUUUGCUGACGAGUGGCGGACGGGGGAGUAAUGUCUGGGAAACUGCCUGAUGGAGGGGGAUAACUACUGGAAACGGUAGCUAAUACCGCAUAACGUCGCAAGACCAAAGAGGGGGACCUUCGGGCCUCUUGCCAUCGGAUGUGCCCAGAUGGGAUUAGCUUGUUGGUGGGGUAACGGCUCACCAAGGCGACGAUCCCUAGCUGGUCUGAGAGGAUGACCAGCCACACUGGAACUGAGACACGGUCCAGACUCCUACGGGAGGCAGCAGUGGGGAAUAUUGCACAAUGGGCGCAAGCCUGAUGCAGCCAUGCCGCGUGUAUGAAGAAGGCCUUCGGGUUGUAAAGUACUUUCAGCG
rnacentral:rRNA from 1 species